rnacentral:rRNA from 1 species
UACGUAGGGGGCAAGCGUUGUCCGGAAUCAUUGGGCGUAAAGCGCGUGUAGGCGGCCCGGUAAGUCCGCUGUGAAAGUCGGGGGCUCAACCCUCGAAUGCCAGUGGAUACUGUCGGGCUAGAGUGCGGGAGAGGCGAGUGGAAUUCCUGGUGUAGCGGUGAAAUGCGCAGAUAUCAGGAGGAACACCAAUUGCGAAGGCAGCUCGCUGGAACGUAACUGACGCUGAGACGCGAAAGCGUGGGGAGCAAACAGG